rnacentral:rRNA from 1 species
CACCCGUUCCCAUCCCGAACACGGAAGUUAAGCUCUUCAGCGCCAAUGGUAGUGAGGGGCUUCCCCUUGUGAGAGUAGGACGUUGCCAGGC